CCUACGGGAGGCAGCAGUGGGGAAUAUUGGGCAAUGGAGGCAACUCUGACCCAGCAACGCCGCGUGAAUGAUGAAGGUCUUCGGAUUGUAAAGUUCUUUUCUAAGGGAAGAAGAAAGUGACGGUACCUUAGGAAUAAGCCUCGGCUAACUACGUGCCAGCAGCCGCGGUAAUACGUAGGAGGCAAGCGUUAUCCGGAAUGACUGGGCGUAAAGGGUGCGUAGGUGGUUUGACAAGUUAGUAGCGCAACUCCGGAGCUCAACUUCGGAACUACUACUAAAACUGUUGGACUUGAGUGCAGGAGGGGCAAUCGGAAUUCCUAGUGUAGCGGUGGAAUGCGUAGAUAUCACGCAGAACCCCGAUUGCGAAGGUAGCCUGCCAAGCCAUGACUGACGCUGAUGCACGAAAGCGUGGGGAUCAAACAGGAUUAGAUACCCUAGUAGUC
rnacentral:rRNA from 1 species